UCCCUGGUGGUCAAGUGGCUAAGACUCUGCACUCCCAAUACAAGGGGCCCAGGUUCAAUCCCUGCUCAGGGAA
rfam:TPA: Bos taurus chromosome 10, whole genome shotgun sequence.